AGGCCUAACACAUGCAAGUCGAACGGCAGCACAGGAGAGCUUGCUCUCUGGGUGGCGAGUGGCGGACGGGUGAGGAAUACAUCGGAAUCUACUCUGUCGUGGGGGAUAACGUAGGGAAACUUACGCUAAUACCGCAUACGACCUACGGGUGAAAGCAGGGGAUCUUCGGACCUUGCGCGAUUGAAUGAGCCGAUGUCGGAUUAGCUAGUUGGCGGGGUAAAGGCCCACCAAGGCGACGAUCCGUAGCUGGUCUGAGAGGAUGAUCAGCCACACUGGAACUGAGACACGGUCCAGACUCCUACGGGAGGCAGCAGUGGGGAAUAUUGGACAAUGGGCGCAAGCCUGAUCCAGCCAUACCGCGUGGGUGAAGAAGGCCUUCGGGUUGUAAAGCCCUUUUGUUGGGAAAGAAAUCCAGCCGGCUAAUACCUGGUUGGGAUGACGGUACCCAAAGAAUAAGCACCGGCUAACUUCGUGCCAGCAGCCGCGGUAAUACGAAGGGUGCAAGCGUUACUCGGAAUUACUGGGCGUAAAGCGUGCGUAGGUGGUCGUUUAAGUCCGUUGUGAAAGCCCUGGGCUCACCUGGGAACUGCAGUGGAUACUGGGCGACUAGAGUGUGGU
rnacentral:rRNA from 1 species